rnacentral:rRNA from 1 species
CCAUCUCAGUUCGGAUUGCAGGCUGCAACUCGCCUGCAUGAAGCUGGAAUUGCUAGUAAUCGCGGAUCAGCAAGCCGCGGUGAAUACGUUCCCGGGCCUUGUACACACCGCCCGUCACACCAUGAGAGUUUGUAACACCCAAAGCCGGUGGGGUAACCUUUUGGAGCCAGCCGUCUAAGGUGGGACAGAUGAUUGGGGUGAAGUCGUAACAAGGUACC